rnacentral:rRNA from 1 species
CCUACGGGUGGCAGCAGUGGGGAAUAUUGGGCAAUGGGCGCAAGCCUGACCCAGCAACGCCGCGUGAAGGAAGAAGGCUUUCGGGUUGUAAACUUCUUUUGUCAGGGAAGAGUAGAAGACGGUACCUGACGAAUAAGCCACGGCUAACUACGUGCCAGCAGCCGCGGUAAUACGUAGGUGGCAAGCGUUGUCCGGAUUUACUGGGUGUAAAGGGCGUGUAGCCGGGUUGACAAGUCAGAUGUGAAAUCCUGGGGCUUAACCGCAGAACUGCAUUUGACACUGUUGAUCUUGAGUACUGGAGAGGCAGACGGAAUGCCUAGUGUAGCGGUGAAAUGCGUAGAUAUUAGGAGGAACACCAGUGGCGAAGGCGGUCUGUUGGACAGCAACUGACGCUCAGUCCCGAAAGCGUGGGGAGCAAAUAGGAUUAGAUACCCCAGUAGUC